rnacentral:rRNA from 1 species
GAUGAACGCUGGCGGCGUGCCUAAUACAUGCAAGUCGAGCGAACAGACGAGGAGCUUGCUCCUCUGACGUUAGCGGCGGACGGGUGAGUAACACGUGGAUAACCUACCUAUAAGACUGGGAUAACUUCGGGAAACCGGAGCUAAUACCGGAUAAUAUAUUGAACCGCAUGGUUCAUUAGUGAAAGACGGUUUUGCUGUCACUUAUAGAUGGAUCCGCGCCGCAUUAGCUAGUUGGUAGGGUAACGGCUUACCAAGGCAACGAUGCGUAGCCGACCUGAGAGGGUGAUCGGCCACACUGGAACUGAGACACGGUCCAGACUCCUACGGGAGGCAGCAGUAGGGAAUCUUCCGCAAAGGGCGAAAGCUUGACGGAGCAACGCCGCGUGAGUGAUGAAGGUCUUCGGAUCGUAAAACUCUGUUAUUAGGGAAGAACAAAUGUGUAAGUAACUAUGCACGUCUUGACGGUACCUAAUCAGAAAGCCACGGCUAACUACGUG